GCGUUUUUUGAAAGGUUAGCGCUCUCCUUGACAAGGAUGGAAAAGGUUCUAGUGACCUUCAGCACACAUUGCCACCUACUCUCUCACCAUGUUUGAGUGGUUAUGUAGUGGUAAAAGCUCU
rnacentral:ncRNA from 1 species